GCGCAUCGAGCCGGCGAUCGGGGAACGC
rnacentral:sRNA from 1 species